AUGAAGCCGGAAUCGCCAGUAAUCGCGGAUCAGAAUGCCGCGGUGAAUACGUUCCCGGGUCUUGUACACACCGCCCGUCACACCAUGGGAGUCGAUAACGCCCGAAGUCAGUGACCCAACCGAGAGGAGGGAGCUGCCGAAGGCGGGAUUGAUAACUGGGGUGAAGUCGUAACAAGGUAAC
rnacentral:rRNA from 1 species